rnacentral:tRNA from 1 species
GGCAAUGUAGUCUAAUGGUGAAGGCAUGAGUUUGCAAAACUUAAAAUAGCAGUUCAAUUCUGCUCAUUGCUU